rnacentral:rRNA from 1 species
UUAACACAUGCAAGUCGAACGAUGAAGCCAGCUUGCUGGUGGAUUAGUGGCGAACGGGUGAGUAACACGUGGGUGAUCUGCCCCAAACUUUGGGAUAAGCCUGGGAAACUGGGUCUAAUACCGAAUAUGACCACGGAAUGCAUGUUUUGUGGUGGAAAGCUCCGGCGGUUUGGGAUGGGCCCGCGGCCUAUCAGCUUGUUGGUGGGGUAAUGGCCUACCAAGGCGACGACGGGUAGCCGGCCUGAGAGGGCGACCGGCCACACUGGGACUGAGACACGGCCCAGACUCCUACGGGAGGCAGCAGUGGGGAAUAUUGCACAAUGGGCGCAAGCCUGAUGCAGCGACGCCGCGUGAGGGAUGACGGCCUUCGGGUUGUAAACCUCUUUCACCAGGGACGAAGCGAAAGUGACGGUACCUGGAGAAGAAGCACCGGCCAACUACGUGCCAGCAGCCGCGGUAAUACGUAGGGUGCGAGCGUUGUCCGGAAUUACUGGGCGUAAAGAGUUCGUAGGCGGUUUGUCGCGUCGUUCGUGAAAACUUGGGGCUUAACUCCAAGCGUGCGGGCGAUACGGGCAGACUUGAGUACUACAGGGGAGACUGGAAUUCCUGGUGUAGCGGUGAAAUGCGCAGAUAUCAGGAGGAACACCGGUGGCGAAGGCGGGUCUCUGGGUAGUAACUGACGCUGAGGAACGAAAGCGUGGGUAGCGAACAGGAUUAGAUACCCUGGUAGUCCACGCUGUAAACGGUGGGUACUAGGUG